rnacentral:rRNA from 1 species
AAAUUGAAGAGUUUGAUCAUGGCUCAGAUUGAACGCUGGCGGCAGGCCUAACACAUGCAAGUCGAACGGUAACAGGAAGCAGCUUGCUGCUUUGCUGACGAGUGGCGGACGGGUGAGUAAUGUCUGGGAAACUGCCUGAUGGAGGGGGAUAACUACUGGAAACGGUGGCUAAUACCGCAUAACGUCGCAAGACCAAAGAGGGGGACCUUCGGGCCUCUUGCCAUCAGAUGUGCCCAGAUGGGAUUAGCUAGUUGGUGAGGUAACGGCUCACCAAGGCGACGAUCCCUAGCUGGUCUGAGAGGAUGACCAGCCACACUGGAACUGAGACACGGUCCAGACUCCUACGGGAGGCAGCAGUGGGGAAUAUUGCACAAUGGGCGCAAGCCUGAUGCAGCCAUGCCGCGUGUAUGAAGAAGGCCUUAGGGUUGUAAAGUACUUUCAGCGGGGAGGAAGGUGUUGUGGUUAAU